rnacentral:rRNA from 1 species
AAAUUGAAGAGUUUGAUCAUGGCUCAGAUUGAACGCUGGCGGCAGGCCUAACACAUGCAAGUCGAACGGUAACAGGGAGCAGCUUGCUGCUUUGCUGACGAGUGGCGGACGGGUGAGUAAUGUCUGGGAAACUGCCCGAUGGAGGGGGAUAACUACUGGAAACGGUAGCUAAUACCGCAUAAUGUCGCAAGACCAAAGAGGGGGACCUUCGGGCCUCUUGCCAUCGGAUGUGCCCAGAUGGGAUUAGCU